UUAUUAACCAUUUGAAUAGUAACCUGACAUGGAUUUUCACGUAACGGAAAGUAGUAAAUAAAAUUACAUUAGGAUCUAUCUAUAAUAAUGGAUAUCUGAGAUAUAAUACGAAAGGCAUAUAAUGUAAAAUGUGGACAUGAGAUUCAACUGUAUGAAGGAUUAGAAUGUGAUCUACUCAAACAUUUCAGAUAUUGUACAACGAAUCCAGGUCAUUAAGACUUUAUACCUGUCUACAUAUUUAGAUUGACACACUUACCUGAAGCUCUGCGGGAUGAAUUUCUUUUUAACUUCAUCAAAAUUACAGCUGACCUUACUGUCCGAAUCAGCGUUAAGAGGACCAGUCCAAACAGGCCCCAGUUCUGGCCCAGGGGAGACAUACCAUUUCAGCUGUUUGAUUUGAGAGGUAGUGAAACGUUAAGUCCGGCACCGGGAGGAUCUGGGGUGUUAAGAAGGUCGUCAACGGCGUUGACCAGUUCGGAGUCCCGAGCAUGGUUCACUGCUGGUGUAACGGAAUGCAUGUGGCGGCAGUUUGUGGUGGGAAGUGGAAGUGGACACAGCCACACACGUCAUCUAUGACGACAUAGAGGCCAGGUCUACCUCAGAUCGUCUGUUUUUUUUACCAGCCCAACAGACCCAACGUACUCCUUGACCAGGGUAGCUUUGUAGUGGUCAACUUAGACAAAGACAGGACCCUGUUAAAGUAUGUCACCUGUGACAUCGAGCUGGGCAGUAGACUGUAAGGUUUGCGAGAAGUUUAAGAAGACCUGUGACGAUCACAAGCUGACCUUCAUCGUGUUACACCCACAUGGCUUCUCCAAGCAGGUCAGCAUAGGUCAGUGGGUGGAGAAACGACAAGAAGGUCAUAGCGCAUAUAAACUUCAGUUCUCUUAUACGACGACGUGCACAUGUCCAGGGAGCAGUGGCGGCCCAAUCAAUAUCCACUUCGCUGCCCACAUAACAAAGCCCAAUCAAUAUCCACUUCGCUGCCCACAUAACAAAGCCCAAUCAAUAUCCACUUCGCUGCCCACAUAACAAAGCCCAAUCAAUAUCCACUUCGCUGCCCACAUAACAAAGCCCAAUCAAUAUCCACUUCGCUGCCCACAUAACAAAGCCCAAUCAAUAUCCACUUCGCUGCCCACAUAACAAAGCCCAAUCAAUAUCCACUUCGCUGCCCACAUAACAAAGCCCAAUCAAUAUCCACUUCGCUGGCCACAUAACAAAGCCGCAAUAGCUGUACUGGACGACAUGAGGCCUGUCAGAAAUCGUGCUAUAAAUGGCUAGGACUAGUUCUACCGAGAUCCGAGUUCCUCUUGCUGUGGAAUGUUGCUUUGAGUGUUUGCAACGGCAUGUUUACGUGUUCAUGUUUGUGUUACAUUGUUACAUAACCUUUUAGUAUGUUGAUACAUGGAUUCAUAUUGUAUACAUAACUAGAAAAUUCUUCUUCUUCUUCUUCUUCUUCUUCUAGCCAGCUUUAUUGCUGCUGAGCUGUGAACUCUUUUGCAGACUGUGCCAAGGAAAAAAAGUGUGCUGUUUUCUUCAGUUGUUCAGCACUGCCGUACAGGGUGUUGGUUAUGUUGGGCUGUAGUGGAAGUAGGGUCUGCCUAAGGUCGAUUAGGGAGGGGCAUUCAAAGAGGAUAUGGUUUACGAUUUCAAAGGGGUGGGCGCAGUCUCUGCAAAGGGGGAGUUGUGUGGAGUUUAUUUUGUUCAGGUGGUAAUUUAAUAGUGUUGUGUGUCCUGUUCUUAGUUGGAAGAUUGUAGAUUGUUCUUUGCGGGGGAGGAAGUUAAUACUGUCCAGUUUGUUAGGCGCAGUCAUUUCUUUGUACCUAACCUGCCUUUGAUAGCUUAUCUGCCUUUUCAUUUCCCAUGAUGCCAAUGUGUCCAGGGAUCCACUGUAGUGUGAUAUUGAUAUUUAAUUUUGAUAUCAUCUGAUGGAUUAUCACAAUGAGUGUUGUCAACUCUCUUGGGCUGUUUGAGGUGCUGCUGUUAAGUGCUUGCAGAGUAGAUUGGGAGUCUGUAAAGACAACAAUAUCUGAUGGUGGUUGCUUUCCUUCAUAUAAUUUGUUUUCCACUGUCUGUAGUGCUAUGGUGAUUGCCUCAAUUUCGGCUUGGAAGUUUGAGCAGUAAUCGCCACAGGGUGCACUUAUCUCAAAGUGUUUAUUUUUAGGGAAGACCAGGAAGGCACCAAGACCAGCAUUGAUGGUGGCUUUGAAAGCCGAUCCGUCUGUAUAAAUAUGGAUAGCUGUUUUUUUGAUAGCUUUCAAUUGUUUCAAGCCUGCCUACUUUGAGCUCCAGUGGAUUUGAUUCUUUUGUUAAGGUGUUAUUUAGUAAAUGUGUUUUGAUGGUUGGUUGUUUGUAAUUUAGUCCGAUUGUAAUGUUUGAAAAUCUGGUAAUUUUGUCUCUGUUAUUGGGUAGGUGGUGUUUUAGGGCUAGUUCGUCAGUAAGUUGGAUCAGAGUCCUUUGCUUUUUUUGGUUGUUUUUCCUAUUUCUCUGUGUUAGUAAUUUAUUUGGAUGAUCGUCCUCCAACCUUCUGUAUCUCUCAAUAGCUUCUAAUGCUGCUCUGUUGCUCCUUAACUUAAGAGGUUCAAUAUUGGAGUCUAUUUCACAGGCUGCUGUGGGGGUAGUUCUCAUACCUCCACUAAUUAGCCGCAAAGCUUGGUUUUGGGUUGUAUCUAAUGAUGAUUGAUAGGUUUUGUUGGCAGCUACUUGUGUGGAGAGACAGUUAUCCAUUACAGAUCUGACGUAUCCAGUGUAUAACUGUCUUAAGGUUUUCUUUUCAGCUCCCCAGGACAUUCCUGCUAGAUGUUUUAUUAUGUUUAAUCUUUGUGAUACUUUUUCUUUUAAAUCUGCCAUAAAGUGUUAUAGAGACAGUCUUUGGUCUAGUUUUACACCAAGAUAUGUUGGAUUUUCUUCUUUAUUUAUUGGCUGUGAGUCUAUUUUUAGGAUGUAGUUUCUUUUUGCUGUUUUGUUGCUGUGGCUAAAGAUUGAAUAAACUGACUUUUCUUUGUUUAUUUCCAUUUUCCAUAAUUUUGAAUAUGUGGAGAUAGUUGUGAGGGCUCUAUUUAGUUUGGAUCUAGUCAGCACUGGAUAUUUCUCUGUAGUCCAAAUUAAAAGGUCGUCUGCAUAAAGUGCCUUAUUGACCGAAAUGAGGUCCGGGAGGUCAUUCAUGAAGAUUAGAAAGAGAGUGCAGCUAAGGGCUGAACCUUGUGGUAGUCCUUCUUCCAAACUUUUUGUACUAGAGAUGGCACCUUCGAAUCGGGUUUGGAUGGUUCUGUUUUUUAAGAAUGCCCUGAUCCAGCUGUACAUUUUUCCAUGGAUGCCCAUUUUUUUCAUCUUCAAAAAGAGACCUUUUCUCCACACUCUAUCAUAGGCUUGCUGCAAAUCUAUAAAUACUGCUGUAAUGUGUUUGUUUUCAUGAAACCCUUCUACUGUGUCCUGGAUAAAACGAAAGAGGUGGUCUUCUGUUCUACUUGCUUUCCUGAAGCCAGCUUGUGCAUUGUGGAGUGAGCAAGUACUUUCUAGCCACCAAUAAAGUCGGUUAUUGAUCAUUUUUUCUGCCAUUUUGCCAAUGCUGGAUGUUAGAGAUAUUGGUCUAUAACUUUUUGGGUCUCCAGGUGGUUUAUUUUUCUUUAAAAUGGAUAUUAUGUUUGCGGUUCUCCAUUCCUGUGGUAUGUCUCCAGUUUUCCAUGUAUGGUUGAUAAAGUUAAGUAUACAGUUUUGGGCCUGUGGUCCUAGUCCCCGAAUCAUUUCAUUUGUUAUUUUAUCGGGUCCAGGGGAUGCUCUUGACUUGAGGAUUUUUAGGGCAGUAUUGAGUUCAUGUAGAGUGAAGGGAGUGUCAAAGAUCUGACAGUUGACUGUUGGAGCUUUUUCUUCUUUCUUUAAGAUAUUACUAAAGGCCUGGUCCAGUUGUUUUCUUGGCUUUGACUUGUUAAUGCUGGCAAAAUAUUUAUUUUAGUAAAUAUAAGAUUGUAAAGAUUAUCUAAAGGAAAAAAAACGCUUAUUACUAACAUUGUUAUCAAAAGAGCAGGUUUAACUCCCUUUUUGUUAUGCUAUAUAAUACAAAAUUAAUUAAUUACUACCAAUUGAUUACUAAUUAUUUUUUUUUAUUCGUGUGUUGUCAUCGACUAUGAAUAAUUAUGCUAAAUUUCAACUUGAUCCGAGAAUGGGAAGUGGGAGAAAAAAAACGUAAUAGAACGUAAUAAGGGAAAUGAAUCCAUGUAUACAUACACAUCUCUCAUUUAGUAGCAUUUAUUCUUAUCUUAUAUAAUACAGACGGUACUUCAAAAAAAAAAAAAAGAA